rnacentral:rRNA from 1 species
UACGAAGGGGGCGAGCGUUGUUCGGAAUUACUGGGCGUAAAGGGCGCGCAGGCGGCCUUUCAAGUCAGAUGUGAAAGCCCCGGGCUCAACCUGGGAAUGGCAUUUGGGACUGGAAGGCUCGAGAUCGGGAGAGGAGGGUGGAAUUCCCAGUGUAGAGGUGAAAUUCGUAGAUAUUGGGAAGAACACCGGUGGCGAAGGCGGCUCUCUGGACCGAUACUGACGCUGAGGCGCGAAGGCCAGGGGAGCAAACGGG